GGGGUUUUGGCUCUGUCGCUCAAGCUUGUGUCUCUUAAUCUUUCUCUGGUAGGGUUUUAGCAAAGGUAAGAGAGAAGAAGAAGAGAAGGUUAUAUCUUGAUGCUCAAACAAUGCAGCAUCAUUUUAAUUCAUUUCCCUCUCAACAUUCCAGCCAAAUCCAAUCCAACAAUAGUACUGUUCCAGUUCAGGUUUUCCCAACAAAUCCAUCUCUAGCAAAUUUAUGCAACAUGUUGCAAAAUUCUAUGCCAAUUCAACCUCAACUGGGUAUUAUCAAUCCUCAAAUUCCAAUUCCUUUCAACAAUUCCAAUACCAUUAUGCCAAAUAUGCCACCUUUGAUGACUCAACAACCUGGCUUUGUUAAUCAACUGGGUAUACCUCAAAUGGGUUUUGCUCCACAAACCAAUAUGAAUACCAUCCCCAUGUUCAUGAAUCAACUGAACCCAUGUCAACCUCAAGGUCAACCAUUUGCCUUUAAUUUCUCCAAUUUGCCUCAACAGCUCCAUCAUAAUAUGGUGUUCCCCAAUCCAAAAACUAUAAUGCAAAAUCUGAACCCUGUUGUGCCCAUCCAAAUGUCAAAUCCUUCUCAAGCUGUUGGUCCUCAAAAUCCCAGCUCUUUUGCAAAUCCAUUGUUUGUUGUUGGGCAGCAAGGCAAUUUGAAUCAGCAGAACUUUGUGGAGGAUAAGAGAACUCAGCAAGUACAAGGGAGCUUGUUCACAAUGCCACAAACUCAAAACUCGAGACCCUCUGCUUCAUUUAGGCGGCAGGGUAAUCCUGUUAGAGAUGGCCGGAAUAGUACUUCAACUUCUAAUUGGAAAAGCUUCCCAGGCAAGGACUUCAAAAAGAAUCCAAAGAAAGAGGCAUCAAAAUUGGGAUAUCAAAAGUCCCAGUUCCAUCAUAUGAAUAAUAGAAAGAGAAUGUUUGGGUUCUCUAAUGAGCAUAAGGGAAAAGGGUAUCGCUAUGAAAGGGCAACUAAAUAUGGUCGCACUAAUCCUAUUGAGCAGACUAUGGAAAACAAAAGGUCUCUUGCUUUGAUCUAUACGGAACAAGAAAUCAAACAAUGGCGUGAAGAACGAAGGAAGAACUACCCAUCAAAAGCAAACAUUGAGAAGAAGGGCAAUGAAAGACUAACAAACUCUGGAGUUUUCAAUAAAGAGGCCAAACAACGUCGAGAGCAACUCAAGGAAAUAUUGGCAAAGCAGGCUGAGUUGGGAGUUGAAGUUGCAGAAAUACCAUCACACUAUUUGUCAGAUUCAGAGAAACAAGUAAAUGAAAGGGAAGAUAAUAGAAUGUUUGUCACUAAAAAAGGUAGAUUCUUGAACAAGCGUGACAGAAGGGGAAGAUAUAACAGAAAUGAUCGGUUGGCCAAGCAGCAAACAUUAGCAAACAAGGAUUCAUCUAAUAUGUCUUCCUUCAACGAAAGGAAGCCAACACUUUUGCAGAAGCUUCUGAGUGCAGACAUAAGGAAAGAUAAGCACCACUUGUUGCAGGUUUUUAGGCUCAUGGUGGCAAACUCUUUCUUUGAUGAUUGGCCGGAGAAGCCUUUGAAAUUUCCUUUGGUAGUAGUUAAAGAAUAUGGUAGGGAGGACGAUGAGCAGGUAGCUGAAAAUUCCUCAAUUACUGGGAAGGUGGUUAAUGAAGUUAGGAAGAAGACAAUAGCUGAAAAUAUUGACCAUGUCGGUGCUGCUGAUGAUGACGAUGGUGAUGAAAGAGUGGAACAAAAGACACGUUAUGCUGGGGGUAAAUUUAGUCUUGUUAAGGAAAUUGACAAAACUGAAGAAGAGGAGGGAGAAAUCAUCGACUAAGAUUGCUUCUCUUGUUCCUAGUGCCAAGCAUUGUGUUAUAGAAACUAUUUCUUUGCUUAUUUAUUAUUUUUCCCUUAAAGUUUGGACGCGGCGUGUCAACUAUAUGAAUUAGGUUGAAGCAAAAGAACAGUUUUGAAUGAGAUUGGGACAUGAAAAGCUGCUCAGUAGGUAAUUGGAGAGUGGUAGAAAUAACAGAGAAUCCUCCUUUCCUACUAAACUAGUGUUUUCUUCUGCUUUUUCCUUUUUUUAUUUUUAUUAUUAUUUUUU
rnacentral:misc_RNA from 1 species